AGGGGGAGCACUGGAUCUUGGGCUGUGUCCCAGGCACCCUGUGUUCCCCGGCCUGCGCUGUGGGAUUCGGGUCCUGGAGGCGUUGCCCCCU
rnacentral:pre_miRNA from 1 species